GCAAGUUUUACCAUAAACUGGUGCAGCCUUUCGGUGCUUGCAAAAAGGCUCACCUCUCCGUUAAUACCGAAUGAAAAUUGGAAUUUAAAAAACCAUACAAUGAGACUGUUUUGAUGAGGAAUUUAAAGAUAAUGUGUCCCAUCCGUUCGACUCACAGUUUGGUACCAUAGGUUGGUACGAUCUUCGUUCGAGAAGGAAAAGGGAUGUUCCAGAUACAGAAAAUCGUCAAACCAUUUACUACAAAGUCCGUUUCUGGGUGGAGUUAGUGGAACCGAAAAAGAUGUCUCCCUCACAGCGUUUGUGACAAAAGAAUUGCAUCGUUCCUUGGCGGCCUUUCAGCAGAAGAAUAUUCAGAGAUUUCACGAGUGAACCUACCCCGGAAGAGAGACCCCAGAGAAUUGCUAAAGCUGUCCGCAAACAGUCAAUAGAAGUGAAGGAAACUUGGGAACAAUUGAAAACCCAUGCGAGCAACUGGCAGAAACAGGUGGAAAAGGCGUUGGAGAAACUUCAAGAACUGCAGAAAGUUCUGGAUGAUCUUGAGGCUCAUGUGAUAACAGCUGAGGGGGUCCACACUGAUUGGCAACCUGUGAGUGACCUGCUUAUUGACUCAUUGCAGGAUCACAUUGAUGAAACCACAGUUUUUGAAGAAGAAAUUGCCCCAGUGAAACAAGAAGUCAAAAUAUUAAAUGAUCUGGCCAGUCAGUUAUCUCCACUUGAUGUCUCUUUCUCUCCAAAGAUUUCUCACCAGCUUGAUGACCUAAAUAUGAGGUUGAAAUUUAUACAGAACCUACCCUGGAAGAGAGAGCCUAGAGAAUUGCCAAAGCUGUCCGCAAACAGUCAAUAGAAGUGAAGGAAAAUUGGGAGCAAUUGAAAACCCAUGCGAGCAACUGACAGAAACAGGUGGAAAAGGUGUUGGAGAAACUUCAAGAACUGCCGAAAGCUCUGGAUGAUGUGGAGGCUCAUGUGACAACAGCUGAGGGGAUCUGCACUGAUUGGCAACCUGUGAGUGACCUGCUUAUUGGCUCAUUGCAGGAUCACAUGGAUAAAACCACAGAUGAAGGGAAAAGCCUUACCACACCAUUUGGCCACUCCUUAGAGAGAGACAACUGGUGAUGAUUUAACCUGAAGAUCACCAUGCCUCGGGCAAGUAGAGGGUUUGAGGCGAAGAUCAUUUCUGGCUAAGGACUAUCUGCAAAAUCUGAGAUUGGGUUUUGAAAGACAUCAGCCUUUAUUUUGGAGAGAUAAUGGCUUUUAAAGAAGAAAUUGCCCCAGUGAGACAAGAAGUCAAAAUAUUAAAUGAUCUGGCCAGUCAGUUACCUCUUUGAUGUCUCUUUAUCUCCAAAGAUUUCUCACCAGCUUGAUGACCUAAAUAUGAGGUGGAAAUUGAUACAGUGGAUCUGUUGGAGUUGCAAAGAGCACAACGCGUCUUGGAUCAACACAAAUUGACACAAAAUGAGCAACUUCUAAAUGUGACUGAAGUAAUCAACUGUUUGAUGACCAUUUAUGAUGGUUUGGAACAAAAUCACAAGGACUUGGUCAAUGUGCCACUCUGUGUCGACAUGUGUCUGAACUGGCUGCUGAACGUCUUUGAUACAAGCCUCUUCGAGCAACAAUUCUUGAAUGUUGAUGGGACGUUGAAACCCAGGUGGAUUAUCGUGAUCACUUGUUGAAAAUGGAUAGCAGCAGGAAGUUCUUUUUCCUCUCAACCAGUGACCAGUCGGCAACGGUCAAACAGUACGUAACCCAGAGGACACAAGCUCCUCUGAGACAUGAUGUUAGUUGAGUCUCAUGAAUAACAACCUGCAGAUGGACUGUCUGCAGAUAAAGCACGACAACAUCAGGUGAAGAUGUGCGUGAUUUCACCAAGGUGCUGUAAAAUAAGUUCAGAUCAAAGAAAUACUUGGCCAAACAUCCUCGCUUGGGUUAUUUACCAGUUCAAACAGUUCUGGAAGGCAAGAACCUUGAGAUGACACAAUCAUUGCCUUGGAAGCUUCAUCACGAUGCGACAUUGCAUUUCUGAAGAGGGAAGAAGAAAUCAAUAUGCAAAUUCAAUUCCAUGUAUUUGGAAGUCCCACUGAGAAAACGAUUCAUUUGCGCCGGCAUAAUGCUCUGACUGAGAAAGAAUUGAAGUUUCCACUUGGAAGAAAGAUUCACAUCAAAUUGACUGGUCAAGGAAAUGGGACACUGACUUAAUUGCAUGACAGUUUGACUGGUUCGUUGAGAGUGAGGAACCGAUGGACUCUCACACACCAAGAUGGAAUUUAAACCAUACAAUGAGACUGUUUUGAUGAGGAAUUUAAAGAUUAUGUGCCCCAUCCGUUUGACUCACAGUUUGGUACCAUAGGUUGGUACGAUCUUCGUUCGAGAAGGAAAAGGGAUGUUCCAGAUACAGAAAAUCGUCAAACCAUUUACUACAAAGUCCGUUUCUGGGUGGAGUUAGUGGAACCGAAAAAGAUGUCUCCCUCACAGCGUUUGUGACAAAAGAAUUGCAUCGUUCCUUGGCGGCCUUUCAACAGAAGAAUAUUCAGAGAUUUCCCGAGUGAUUCUGAUGUUGGUAACUGGAAAGCCUCCAUUGUUGGAGGACGAGAAGCCGUAUCCAAUUGAAGCAGCACAGGCUUCUGCGAUGACUGUGGAAACCACUGCUUAUGCCUUGCUUCAAGCCUUGUCAAGGAAUGAUAUUGACUAUGCAAAACCGAUUGCGAGGCGGCUAACGAUGCAACAGAACGAUGGUGGUGGAAUUCACUCGACGCAGGUAAAUGCUUGAGAUCACAACAACAGGCAUUCAGAUAUUUCCAUGGAUCGUGUUACUAACUGGAGGUUGAUGCUGUUUGCAAUCAAACUGGACACUGCAUUUUCAUCUGCAGGUUUGGUGCAUUGGCACAAAUUCCAGUUCUUCAAUGGUGUUAAUCCUUGGUUAAAUUCUUACAUGCACUUUGCCUGUGCAUCACUUUUCCUUUUUGGCAUUGUCCUUUAAAACUACCUGUUUCUGCAAACCUUCACUUAUUUGUCAUAGGAUCAUUGAGGGACAGCAUAAUAGAGUGCUAUGGCAAUGGAACAGACCCUUCAGCAAAUUGUAUGUGCCCUCACAAGAUGCAAGUCCCGAACUAUUCUCAUCACAUUUCCCAGCACUCGACCCAGAGCCUUGUAUGCCUUGGCAUCGCAAAUGCCCAAUCAAAGACUUGUUAAAUGUUAUCAUGGUUUCUGCCUCUACCACCCACACAGUCGGUGCGUUCCACAUUCUCACCACAGGUUCGGUGCAAAAACAAGUAAGUUUCCUCAAGAGAUAGUGGGAACUUGCCAAUGCUGGAGAAUCUGAGAGAACAAGGUGUAGAACUGGAUGAACACAGCGGGCCGAGCAGCAUCAGAGAAGCAAGAAAGCAGACGUUUCGGGUCGACACCCUUCUUCAAAAAUGGGGGAGGAGAAGGGGAUUCUGAAAAAAAUAGGGAGAAGUGGGGAGGCAGGUAGAAGAUUGGUAAAGGAGAAGUUAGGUGAACUGUCCUGUGCUGUCCACUCACUGUCCCCUGCUCCAGAAUCAUAGAAUAAGAGAAUUCUCCAGAAUUAGACCAUAAGGCAAUGAGACAUAGGAUUGGAGGUAAGGCCAUUCGGCCCAUCAAGUCCACUCCGCCAUUUAAAUCAUGGCUGAUGGGCAUUUCAACACCACUUCCCUGCACUCUCCGCGUAGCCCUUGAUUCCUUUUGAGAUCAAGAAUUUGUUGAUCUCUGCCUUGAAGGCGUCCAACAUCCCGGCCUCCACUGCACUCUGCGGCAAUGAAUUCCACAAGCCCACCACUUUCUGCCUGAAGAAAUGUCGUCUCAUUUCAGUUUUAAAUUGACCCCCUCGAAUUUAGGCUGUGCCCACGGGUCCUCGUCUCCCCUCCUAACGGAAACAACCUCCUAGCGUCCACCUCUUCUAAACUCUUCUUGUAAGUUUUAAUUAGUUCUCCCCUCAACCUUCUAAACUCUAGUGAGUACAAUCCCAAGAUCCUUAGCCAUUCAUCAUAGGUUAAGCCUACCAUUCCAGGGAUCAUCCGUGUGAAUUGAACAAGCACUUCAUUCCAUUGUGUCUGUAACCACUGAAGCCACACUAAGUUCACAUUUGGCUCAUGUUUUAGCAAUAGGCCCGUUGCCUUGAAUGUUAUUUCAUUUUAAGUGCUGUACCAACCCUUUUGCUUUAAUGAGAAAAGAUUAUCCACCACCUCAACUAAAGUCCCAGACAAUGAAUUCCAAACCCCCAGCACCUUCUGGGUGUCUUUUCUUUCCUGAAAUUCCU